rfam:Triticum aestivum genome assembly, contig: Triticum_aestivum_CS42_TGACv1_scaffold_150093_2BS
AAAGUACUCCCUCCGUCCCAAAAUUCUUGUCUUAGAUUUGUCUAGAUACGGAUGUAUCAAGUCACAUUUUAGUAUUAGAUACAUCCAUAUGUAGACAAAUCUAAGACAAGAAAUUUGGGACAGAGGGAGUAGUUG